AGCUCCAAUAGCGUAUAUUAAAGUUGUUGCAGUUAAAAAGCUCGUAGUUGGAUUUUGGGUUUGGUAAAAUCGGUCUAUGUUAUAUAGUACUGACUUGCCUGCCCUUCUUCUCGAGGCCUAUGGGUGCACUUAACCGUGUGUUCAUAGUGUUCGGGACUUUUACCGUGAGAAAAUUAGAGUGUUCAAAGCAGGCUUUUGCUUGAAUAUUGCAGCAUGGAAUAAUGGAAUAGGAUCAUGAUCUUAUUUUGUUGGUUUCUAAGAUCAAGAUAAUGAUUAAUAGGGAUAGUUGGGGGCAUUAAUAUUUAGUUGUCAGAGGUGAAAUUCUUAGAUUUACAAAAGAUUAACUUCUGCGAAAGCAUUUGCCAAGGAUGUUUUCGUUAAUCAAGAACGAAAGUACGCA
rnacentral:rRNA from 1 species